UACAGAGGUCUCAAGCGUUGUUCGGAUUCAUUGGGCGUAAAGGGUGCGUAGGCGGCGCGGUAAGUCGGGUGUGAAAUCUUGGAGCUUAACUCCGAAACUGCAUUCGAUACUGCCGUGCUUGAGGACUGGAGAGGAGACUGGAAUUUACGGUGUAGCGGUGAAAUGCGUAGAUAUCGUAAGGAAGACCAGUGGCGAAGGCGGGUCUCUGGACAGUUCCUGACGCUGAAAUACGAAAGCGUGGGGAGCAAACAGG
rnacentral:rRNA from 1 species